CGUUGGCUUGCGUUAGCGAUUGUAAUGGCAUCCUUUUUUAUGCUGAACUAGAUUCAGUAUAAAAAAGAUAAAAUGAAAAGCGCGACUUUAU
rnacentral:sRNA from 1 species